rnacentral:rRNA from 1 species
GACGAACGCUGGCGGCGUGCCUAAUACAUGCAAGUAGAACGCACAGUUUAUACCGUAGCUUGCUACACCAUAGACUGUGAGUUGCGAACGGGUGAGUAACGCGUAGGUAACCUGCCUGGUAGCGGGGGAUAACUAUUGGAAACGAUAGCUAAUACCGCAUAAUAUUAAUUAUUGCAUGAUAAUUAAUUGAAAGGUGCAAUUGCACCACUACCAGAUGGACCUGCGUUGUAUUAGCUGGUAGGUGAGGUAACGGCUCACCUAGGCGACGAUACAUAGCCGACCUGAGAGGGUGAUCGGCCACACUGGGACUGAGACACGGCCCAGACUCCUACGGGAGGCAGCAGUAGGGAAUCUUCGGCAAUGGACGAAAGUCUGACCGAGCAACGCCGCGUGAGUGAAGAAGGUUUUCGGAUCGUAAAGCUCUGUUGUAAGAGAAGAACGGGUGUGAGAGUGGAAAGUUCACACUGUGACGGUAGCUUACCAGAAAGGGACGGCUAACUACGUG